rnacentral:misc_RNA from 1 species
GUACUAUGUGCUUCGUGAAAAGCUUCAACAAAAUUGGUAAACCAUGCAGAAAAUAAUGUUUGCCGUGGCGAAUGUAUUCGGUGAUGUGCGUGAACUUUAUUAUCGCUUAAAACAUAAAACCGAAUCGUAUCAACCCUGAGACAUGUCCUACUCUCGAUCAAGAACAGAUUACAAGCCGUAUUUGAUGAGUUGACCCAAUUUCCUAGAUAAACAUUAAGACAGAAUGGAUGCAGAACGACAAUUUCUAUGCCCCCGACUAAUUGACUAUCUGGCGAUCGUCGGAGCCCGGCACACACCCUCUUCGGUGAAGCAAAGUGCGAGCCCUCAUAUACAAGCUCCAGAAUUGCUUCGUCGUUAUCCAAUCCAGGACCACAAAGACUUUCCUAUGCCUGUGGAUAUGGUGUACUUCUGCCAACCAGAGGGGUGUUCCUCCGUCGGCCCUAGAAGGACGGCCCUUCGCGAAGCCUCCUCUUUCGUAUUUACGUUAACCGAUAAAGAUUCUGGCAAAACGCGGUAUGGAAUAUGCGUGAAUUUUUAUAGAUCUGUGGAGAAAAGCUCUACACUAUUCGGGUUUAAUAAAGCACGAGCCAACACUGGUAUGCGAAGGGAUUCUUGGAGGAAAAGUAUGGAGAAGAGUUCGGAUUCUGCUUUUUCAAGUGACUAUAGAAGUAGCAACAUAAAUCCAAGCGACUCCGAAAAGGAUUAUCCGCCAAGCAGACGUGACUCCGAAUCUACUGCUCCAAACACUUUGCCUUCAUCAAGACUUGCUGUAGGUGGGAACGACUCCGAAAGUGGAGGAAGCCAUUCACCUUCACCAAGAGCCAGCAGAAGAAGACAGAGAAUAAGGAAUCACUCAUUGACAUCUCUCUGUAUCCUCUCUCAUCAUCCAUUCUUCACCAUGUUUAGGGAGUGCCUUUAUAUUUUGAAAAAGCUCAUUGAUGCUUGUAAUGAAUCUUCACAUCCAAGAAGAGUUGGGGCGUCUAAACAAACUUCAAGGGAUAGCGUUUGGAGUGUUAUAACUGGUCAAUCAAAUGAAGGCGCCUCAUCAAUUGUGCUGCACGAUGUUAAAGAAAUAGAAACCUGGAUAUUAAAACUACUUUCUGCUCCUGUUCCUAUUCCCGGAAAGACUAAGGUGGAAGUGGAAGUACUUUCUCCAAGCGUAUACGAACCAUUAGUAUUCGCCUUACCGAGUCAUACACGAUUUACUUUGAUAGACUUUCCACUUCACCUGCCACUAGAACUGCUAGGAGUAGAAACAUGUUUAAAGGUGCUAACAGUAAUACUAUUAGAAAAUAAGGUUGUAUUCCAGUCGCGAGACUACAAUGCUCUGUCUAUGUCUGUGAUGGCUUUUGUUACGAUGAUAUACCCGUUAGAAUAUAUGUUUCCUGUAAUUCCUUUGCUACCUACUUGUAUGAGUUGUGCUGAACAACUUUUGCUUGCCCCAACGCCAUUUGUGAUAGGACUUCCCGUUAGUUUUUUAAUGUACAAGAAGAACUUUAGGUUACCAGAUGAUAUAUGUUUAGUUGACCUAGAUUCCAAUAAGUUACAUUCUCCUACAGAAAUACCCCCGUUGCCCGAACCAGAAGGGACAAUAUUAAAAAACCACCUUAAGCAGGCAAUGCAGCUUAUGGAUCAAGUUGGCACUGGAGCGAUGUCCAAUUUAUCAACACCAAGCAAUAAUAGCGCACAACUACAGCCUUCAAGAAGAAACAGUGUCUCUUUGACACCUCAAACCACUCUAGGAGUUGGUAUACCUACAAAAUCACCAGAAGCCUCAUUACCAGGUUCACCAAAUCAAAGAAUGUCACUCACUCCACAAUCUCCAUUACCACCUCCAGCAACAAGAAUUUAUUCACCAACACAGCAAGGCAAUCCAUUUAUUUACGGAAAUGAUGUUGACUCAGUUGAUGUUGCUACAAGAGUGGCUAUGGUUCGUUUCUUUAACUCUCAAAAUUUACUAGCGAACUUUAAUGAGCACACGCGAACUCUACGGUUAUACCCCAGACCUGUCGUGGCUUUCCAGAUAAACAGCUUCCUAAGGUCUAGACCAAGAGCUUCUCAAUUUUUAAACAAAUUUGCCAGGACACAAGCUGUAGAAUUUUUGGCAGAAUGGUCCCUUACACCCACAAAUGUUGCCUUUCAAAGAGUACAUACAGGAGUUCUAGAUCCAGCUUUAAUCGGAGAUAAACCCAAGUGGUACUUACAUACUCUGGAACCCAUAAAGUUUAUUGUUUGGGAUGAUGGAAGUUCAUUAAAUGGUGCCUUAAGAAGUAUUCAAAGCCACGAAAACCAACCAACAGAUGAAAGUGGUUCAGACUCAGAAGAGGGUGAGAGUACUAGCUCAAGCUAUUCGUCGUUAAGUGAUUUCGUAUCAGAAAUGGCUUCCUCUGAUCUAUCCCCUGGGUAUCUUUCCUACCACGAUCAAAGAAAAGCGUCUGCUCAAAGCAUGACUUUUUCCUCAAAUAUCGAUGCGGAUAGUAUCUACAAGCCACCAUCCGAACUAAAAUAUCCCGAUGGAGAAACUCCUGUGCAAAGACCCGAAUCUCCCGCCUCUUCGAGUAGCUCUAGCUCAGAUUCUGAUCUAAGCUCUCCAUCAUUUAACAGGGAUUCAGAAUUUGAGUUUAAUAAAAAGGAAGAGGUUAAGAAGCCGAAAGAAAAAAUUGAGAAGGACGAUACAGUCUCUAUUGAGAAUGAGUCGGAUUCGAACUCUACAACUACACCUAAGACAAUAGUUAGUAAUAAUAAUCAAAAAAGUGAAGCGUCUUCAGUAGAGGGAGAUAAGGUGUCUACUAGGAGAAUAAGGAAGGUUCCUCCAAUUACACCAGCACCACUUCAAAAACAACCAAGCGUUGGCAACGUAUUUUCAAAAACUUCAAGCGUGGGCUCUUCUGGUUCACCUAGUCCAGGUCCGAUUCAUUCUGCAAGCAGUGUGGGCAGCUCUGCAAGUGGAUUAACUCGACAAGGCUCCCAAGGCUCAAUUUUCGAAAGAUUCGCUUCAGAAGCAAAAGAAGCGUUUAGAGAAACUACUCGGCAGAGCAGUCAGGAUGGAAUAUUGGCUCAAAUGGAUAAGUUUAAGUCACAGGCCAAAGAGAAACUUAAUGAAGCAGAAGAGAGUCACUUAUUUGCUCCUUUUGAUAAGCUGACUAUUCAAGCAAAAAAAGCAGCUGAAGAAGCAACAAAAAGUAUGCAUGAAGCAAGUAAAUCAGCUCUCGAAGCCAGUAAGUCAGCUACUGCAAUGAGCAAAAAUACUAUUGAUGAUUUAACGUAUGUUGGAAAAUCCACAUUUGGGGAUUUGACUAAAUCUGCAAAAGAAGCUGUACAAAUGAAAGGAUUAUUGAGAAAUGAUUCCUUCAAUAGACCGGAUUCUAGGAGAGACUCAACAAGCAGUACCACCUCUAUUGUAGCUCAUUCAGCGUUAGCAGGUGCCAGUAGAGAUUUUUUUUCAAACAUACAGUCUGACCUCAACGGCAUUGCCUCAAGUACUACCAACAUAUUCUCAGAUUUCUUUGGAAACAAGAAGGAUGCUAGGCAGGACCAGUCAUCACACAAGCCGAAAGAAACAAAAUCAAGUCUGUUUGGCCCUUUCCAGAGAGGGCCUAAAGGUAUUGUUGAAAAAAGUCCUCUUAUUAAACAUGUACCCAAGAAACAGGACGAGAUGCAAAGGAGGCAAAGCAUGGAUAAAACUGCUACUAAUAGUGAUAAUCAAGCAUUUUUGAAAGACGUUAUCACAAGUGUUCUUGAUGGUGAAGGAGUAGGUUGGCUCAAAUUUAAUAGACUAAAAAAACUAAUGGAAGAAGAAACCUAUCGUAACUUUGUAGUUAGCAAAAUUAACAAAACUCUUGAUAAAAAGAUAGCUCCUGAUGAUCAUAUUGAUGAUGUGUGUGUCCCUAAACCAGUAUGGAAAGGUAUGUUAAAAGUCCUACAAGCGAUCCAACAUGGCUUAGAAGUCACGUUUAGUAAUUAUGGGCUUGGUGGUAUGGCAUCGGUGUUUCAAAUGCAAGAAAUUGCUCAUACACACUAUUGGACCAAAGAUGUCGGCGACUCAGCAUCUGCUGAUAUAACUCAGGCUUCAAGUCCCAAAUCCCCCCAAAGUCCAAGAUACUCUUUACAGUCAUCAGACUGGGAGAAUGAUAGUAGAAAAUCAUCUCAAGCUGAACCUCCGGAGGUUCGUCUAAUACAUGAAGCGGACUCUGAUAAGGAGCAAUCAGCCACUGACAUCUUCAAGGAUAUGAUAACCCAAAAGAAAAACUUAUUGUUAAGCAAAUUAACGUCAUUUGAUUCAGAUGUUGAUGGAACUUUUCAUGGGUCUGGAGAUACCAUAUCACCGGGUUCUAUCACUACCGGACCAGCCGGAGGCCUUCAUAGGGGUGGGAAUCAUGCAUCAUUUCGUUCAACUGUAUCAGAUACAGAGGUAGAAACACUACAGUUUCCUAAACUUCCCAAGCAACGUACUUCAAGUGUUUGGUCAAGCAAAUCUUCACUUAGUACAGGAUUUAGAUACCAUGGUGGUCAUAUAGUAAAUACCGCUGCCUCGCCUUCACCCGACGCGGUAAGAACUUACCUCUUUGAAGGCUUAUUAGGUAAGGAACGGUCGCAUCUUUGGGACCAAAUGCAGUUUUGGGAGGAUGCGUUUCUUGAUGCUGUGUCGCAGGAAAGGGAUAUGACUGGCAUGGACCAGGGGGCGCGAGAAAUGAUGGAACGUUACAAAGGAUUAAGUGACACAGAGAGAAAAAGGCUGGAGCACGAAGAAGAUCGACUAUUAGCAACGUUCCUUUACAAUUUAACAGCAAUAUUAGUAAUGCUAAACUGCACGAAGGAGGAAAUUAAGCGAAAAAUUCGAAGGUUGUUGGGAAAAAGCCAUAUUGGUUUAGUUUAUAGUCAAGAAAUUAACCUUUUGUUAGAUCAAAUUCACAAUUUGAAUGGAAACGACAUUGACCUUAAACCUUUAGGAUCUAGAACCCUACAUAGACAAAGUUUUACCGUUCAUCAAGGAAUUGAUUGUACUGGGGAUCUGCGCUUUUUAGAGGUUCGAGAUGAUGGACUUGUAAUCAGAUCAACAAAUGGAGUUAUCAUUGAAAGAUGGUGGUUUGAAAGGCUGGUCAAUAUGACGUAUAGCCCGAAGAAUAAGGUGCUUUGCUUGUGGAAGCGUACUGGAGGGCAAACGCAGGUCCAUAAGUAUUAUACGAAAAAGUGUAAGCAAGUUUACUAUUGCAUAAAGGAGGCAAUAGAACGUAGCGGCAAUAUCCAGAGUGUUCCCGAAUUAGGAGGCGAAUUCCCAGUUCAAGAUAUGACAACUGGCGAGGGAGGACUACUCCAAGUUUGCAUGGAAGGCGUGGGAUUAUUAUUCGCCAACAGCAAGGACUUUGAGGUAUUACAUUAAAAAUGUUUUUCGUCAGGUUAUCUCAUAUAAGAAAAUGCUAUACACAAAAAGGCAGCAUUUUCAUUAUAGAGGAAUUUAAUCCAAAAACACGCCAAGUAC